rnacentral:rRNA from 1 species
UACGUAGGGGGCUAGCGUUAUCCGGAUUUACUGGGCGUAAAGGGUGCGUAGGUGGUUUUUUAAGUCAGGAGUGAAAGGCUACGGCUCAACCGUAGUAAGCUCUUGAAACUGGAAAACUUGAGUGCAGGAGAGGAAAGUGGAAUUCCUAGUGUAGCGGUGAAAUGCGUAGAUAUUAGGAGGAAUACCAGUUGCGAAGGCGACUUACUGGACUGUAACUGACGCUGAGUCACGAGAGCAUGGGGAGCAAACA